ACGAACGCUGGCGGCGUGCUUAACACAUGCAAGUCGAGCGGUAAGGCCCGUUUCGGGGGUACACGAGCGGCGAACGGGUGAGUAACACGUGGGUGACCUGCCUUUAGCUCUGGGAUAAGCCUGGGAAACUGGGUCUAAUACCGGAUAUGACUCCGCGGUGCAUGCUGUGGGGUGGAAAGCCUUGUGCGGCUGGAGAUGGGCCCGCGGCCUAUCAGCUUG
rnacentral:rRNA from 1 species